AUUGAACGCUGGCGGCAGGCUUAACACAUGCAAGUCGAGCGGAGAUGAGGUGCUUGCACCUUAUCUUAGCGGCGGACGGGUGAGUAAUGCUUAGGAAUCUGCCUAUUAGUGGGGGACAACAUUCCGAAAGGAAUGCUAAUACCGCAUACGUCCUACGGGAGAAAGCAGGGGAUCUUCGGACCUCGCGCUAAUAGAUGAGCCUAAGUCGGAUUAGCUAGUUGGUGGGGUAAAGGCCUACCGAGGCGACGAUCUGUAGCGGGUCUGAGAGGAUGAUCCGCCACACUGGGACUGAGACACGGCCCAGACUCCUACGGGAGGCAGCAGUGGGGAAUAUUGGACAAUGGGGGGAACCCUGAUCCAGCCAUGCCGCGUGUGUGAAGAAGGCCUUAUGGUUGUAAAGCACUUUAAGCGAGGAGGAGGCUACUGAGACUAAUACUCUUGGAUAGUGGACGUUACUCGCAGAAUAAGCACCGGCUAACUCUGUGCCAGCCGCCGCAGUAA
rnacentral:rRNA from 1 species